AUAAUCUGAAAUCACAGAAGAAUGAAAAAUUCUGAGUUAUUUACUCCAGCUGGAUCUCUUAAGACUGUUCAAAUUUCAGACCUAAUUGAUAAUCUGUGAAAUAUUAAAGUCUCUAACCAAGCUGUUUCAUUUCAGAUUCUUCCCAAAACCUUGAGGUAGGGGAAAGAAUCAUCUUUAAUAUGUCAACUCGUGAUUAUUGAGGCAAUUAUCACUUUUUUAAGUUGAGGAAAAUGCUUAUUAGAUUGUUGAAGCUGCCUUGAGGGGCAAAAGAAGUGAUAAGGCUGGUAUCUCUGGUGCUUCGUAAUUGGUCCAUUUAAGUGUAUGACCUGUAGGGAUAGUGUCAAAGCUAAGGCUUUUGGACAGACAUGUGAAAUAGUUUGUAAAGAUUUGGUCUGGAGUCUUGCAAUCUUUUUUUUUCUGCAUACUCCUGCUCUUUACGGUCACCGCUUGGCUAGGCCUACCAUUUUUGGAAGUUCUUGAAUUUCCUUUUUACCCAGUCAGUGAUUUUCCUUGCUCUGUGGGGUAGGUCUCAGGUAGUUCUGCAGUUGAUCUGUUCAUUAACCAGUAAGAAAUGCGAGACACACUGGUGUCCAGCAUUGGGUCUGCAAAUGUUAGACACAGGCCUUGAUCUCUAGGAACUAGUUUAGUUGGAGAGACAGUAAGGUAGCAAAGUAUGUAAGGGAUGGCUUACAGAACGUCCAUUCCUAUUGUAGUCUGUUGCUGACCUCUUAAUUGACAGUUGACUUUCAAGAUGGUAGAAAUGCUGCUUUUCAUGACUAAAAUAAUGUUUUAUGGCUCAGAGAGCCUUACUUCCUAAUUCUCUAGAGCAAAACACUGAUUUAGGGAAUAUGAAAUGUAUGUUUAUGUAUGGCAGGAACAAAGAAUCUGAGGCCAGACUCUUGAGUUUGAUUUCUAGCUCUGCCAAAUAUUCGCUUGGGCAACCUCAUUUGACCUCUUUGCUUCUUUAUCUGCUUAAUAUACUAAUCUAGCUCUAUAGUAAUUGGAAGGAUUAGAGUGUAAAGAACAGACCCUAACAUAAUACUGAGCCUUAUAUAGUGUUGGUUAUUACUGUUUUCUGACUUUGCAAAGAUGCUGCUUCACCAUAAACAUAAAAAGAUUGAAUGUCUUCCUAGUGUGUGGGGAAAUGGUUUGUUCAUUUAUGUAUUUGUUUCACAAAAUAGAUAACAUUAAAUGUAACUCUCUGAAGUGAGGCAUAGAUUUUGUGAAAGCACAGUGAAUGUUCAUUUACCGACAGUGGAUAGCAAAAUGGGAUGUUUUGGGUAAAUAACAUUUUGAUUUCAUUAAAAUUAUCAUAUGUGUAAUCCAUUUUCCAUGGGUUAGGUAAUAAUAAAGUUGAUCUUUGCAACUGCUAAAUUGAAGUUUUAUUUUUUAAUCCAAAGUAUUUCACUGUAUAACUUCAAGAGGCGCCAUUUAUGCAGACUCUCAUACGAAUAGUCCUCUCCUGAAGCUGUGCAGUGUGGUUAGCCCUGAGAGAGGAUGCUUACUGGGUGGGAGACAACCCUCCAAUAUCUGCAUGCUUUCAUGCUUCUUAAUUUAUCUCAGAGUUAGUAUGCAGAGUGUGAAAGACUGUUUUAAUUUUUCUUACCUGAUGGUUUGGAUUUUAUACAAAAUUGUGUUAGUGGCACAAUUGGAUUGAGAAUGCAAAUCUGAGGGAAAUGUAACUUGUUUUUUUGUUUGCUUCGCUGAAAAGUUCAACUGCUCUGCUUCCAUCUGUUCUUAUCUUGCCUUACCUAUUAUGGAGUCCUCAGGCAUUAAAUUUUGUUGUGAUUGCUGCAUUUGAAACCAGAAGUAACCUGAAGAAAAAAGGUCGAGUAAGUAAAUACAUGGUAGCUAUACUAGUAUAGUCACUAGCUUGUAGGCCAGGAAAAGUACCUGUUUAUGCCAUAUGGUUUUUAAAGAGUAUUGAUUUGUCUGUAAAUCAACCAGCCUUGAGGAAAGUGGCUGCAGUGACAGAGGAGUGAAAAAAUGUAAACAUAUUAAACUGUUUUUAAGGGCUUUUGUCUUUAUCAGAACAAAAAAAAAAAUUCUAGAAUGUUAAUUGGAUUUUGGUUAUUAGGAGAAUGGCUAAUUUUAUUUAGAAUAAUUUUAUGUGUUUCUUUAAUGAGCAAGUGAAAAAAACUUGGGAAAAAAGCAGGUGCCCUUAGCAACAAACUUUUUCUUUAUUUAGAUGCUGAACUUUGGCAUAAAUAUCAAGAUUACAGUUCAUAAUAUCCUUCUCCUUCAGCAGGGAAGACUAAAACAGUAAUUAUAGGCCUAAAGAAUAUUACUACAAAAGGAGACCUUCCAGUAGAAAGAAGCAUAUAGCAAUAAGAUUUAACUCAUUCUAAUAAUAAUAAAGUGUUCAGUCAAUUUUGGUGCUAUAGAGAACCUUUUAAAUGUUCAAGGGACAUUUUAGAAGGCUGGAGAGGUAAACGAUUUGUCUAUGGUCACAUAUCACAUUGGUACAGUUAAAAUUGGAAUUAAAUUCAGAUGUGCUAACUCUUGAGCCUCUUCCCCGCCCCAUGCUAGGUACACCAGGCUGCUUAGUUGAAUUUAACUGUCUAGUGUGAAAUUAGCUCCUCCUUUAAAAGCUUUUAAGUAGAAGUUCUUUGAUAAAGAGUUUAGUUGACUUGUGACUUUUGACUUCAUUUAAUCCCAAAGAGAUAUUUAGCUUCUUAACUUAUUUACCAGCCCCCAACCCCCUCCUGUCUUGGUCUGCUAACUCUUAACCUUUUCUUCACUUCCUUUCCUAUUGAGUUUAGACUUUAUUUUUAGCAACCAACAGAAGCCAGCUUUGGCUAGUUUAAGCAGAAAUGAUAUUAAGAGUUAUUAGGUACCUCACACAUUCUUCAGGAGGGCCAAAGAAAAGAGGGAGCCAGGAACAAACUUCAGAAUCACAUCACGAUGAUUUCACUGCCCACACUGUGUGUAACACAUUCUACAGUGUGUGCGGUGUGAUUGUUGAUGUCAAGCGCAGAAUGCUACCACUAGAACUCUGUUGCUAUCUUAGUGGUAACUACUGCAGUUCUCUCCAGAAUGGGUUAUUUCUUUGCUUGUGAUGCGCAAGGCGUGCUGCAUGCAUACUACCAACCUCAUUUUGCCCUAAAUGCUUCCAGGCAGUCCUUUUGUGUGACCACGGGUAAGUUUUUCUUUUUCUACAAGUUACUUAAAAUUUUUACAAUUUUCUUAAUAUCCCAGCUCCAACAUUAUACUAAAGAGUGGGAGCUAAAGGAACAUAGGAAUGAGUGGGGGAGUUUUUACCAUUGUUUAAUAGUUAACAUAGACAAAUGACUAAAAUUACACAUAAGGGCCUGAAAUGAAUGACCAACUUGAAAAAAACAAGUAAAAUUUUAUGGAAGAAAAAAACCCACAAUCUACAUAAUUUUCUACAUAAAAGCUGGAUCAAAGAAAAAAACCAAGUUCACUAGUUUUUGCUAAUAAAUCUUAUGAUUUUAGUGUUCACCACAUAAAACAGGCUUUUAAAAAAUUUCCCUAAUUUUAAUUCAAGAUGAAUACAGAAGAACAUUUCCCACCUCGCCUGCUAAGUUAUAUACCCACUCCCAGAACCUAAAAUAUGCAAUGGGUUUGUUAAUAGUGCCUUGAGGACCAUGGCACACAGCAGUCCCAAUGAACUGUGUUACUAAGCUGGGUCCUUUCUUUUCAUUCAGCAUUCUGAGAUAUCUCUGUCAAAUCAUUUCUGAGAUACAAAGUUCAUUAAGAUAGACAGCUACAUUAUUUAAAUCACUAAAGUCUUAUUUUUAUUUUUUGAGCUGGUGCUAAGAAAAGUUCAAGCAAUGAAGUGUUAUGUCAUUCAUCAAAUCAGGAACCAUAGAAAAUGGAGACGCUUGACUGCCAUGAGUCUACUAAUUAUAGUGCUGAAUAUUCAAAGGACAUUUUUACCACCGAGAACUUCAUGAGUGUUUUAUGAAGGAAUAGUUGACACCAUUUUUAGCUGUGAUUCCAAUAUUUGGAAAUCUUUGAAAAAACAGAGGUAAAAAAGAUGGAGAUGAGGUUUUUAAUCUUUCCAGAAAACUUAAAAAAUGUCUUUAGAAAUAAAGAAGAACAUAAUAGCCCUAUAAUCUGGUUCUGCUCUUCAUAUAUUAAUAAUAUCCUAACUCACACGUCCUGUACCUUCUCUUAAGACCUUGACUACUCACCAAUGAAAUAAACUGCUGGAUGCCAAGAAGUUUUACUCUUCCUUCCAGUUGUUUAAUACCACAAUGCCAUGAACAAAAUAAGCAAUGAAUAAACAUUUGUAAGUAAAUUUAUAUUUCAAAGUCACGAAACAUUUUAGAGCAUGUUGAUUUCAUGCACUAUCAAAGAUAGGCAAAAUGGUUUACCAUCUGAUAAUUCCAAGUCAAAAUAAUAUAUACCAAUUUUUCAGUCAAAUAAAGCAGUUUUUUUUUUCCUAUUUUUAUCUUAAUAAGACUAUACUUUUCUGGUUGCCAGUUCAAAAAGAAAAAAAAAUUAUGACAUUAUGGCUUAAAUUUACCUUUUUCAUGGAGCACCACUUCACGAUUAUGAAGGGUUGAAAAGAGCCCUUUUAACUCCUGUGCUGUUUACUGUCCCUGCCAAACAUUUGACAUUUACUGCUUAUGUAGUUAAUUGUCUUUAUUGUAUACCAUGAAGAUUAAGAAACAUGGGCCAGGCCCAGUGGCUCACGCCUGUAAUCCCAGCACUUUGGGAGGCCAAGGCGGGCGGAUCACGAGGUCAGGAGAUCGAGACCACCCUGGCUAACACAGUGAAACUCCGUCUCUACUAAAAAUAUAAAAAAUUAGCCGGGCGAGGUAGUGGGUGCCUGUAGUCCCAGCUACUCAGGAGGCUGAGGCAGGAGAAUGGCGUGAACCCUGGAGAUGGAGCUUGCAGUGAGCCGAGAUCGCAUCACUGCACUCCAGCCUGGGUGACAGAGUGAGACUCCGUCCCCCCUCCCCCCCGCCCAAAAAAAAGAAAAAGGUUAAGAAACACACACUGAAGCCAGACUGAAUAGAGCCCAACAGCUUGGAUUUGAAUCUUCGCUCUGUCAUUCUCUAGCUUUGGUUGAUUACUCUUUGUUUCUCAGUUGUAAAAUGGGUAUGAGGAUUAAAUGAGCUAAUAUAUAUGUAGCACUUAAGUCAGUAUUUGGCAUAGUUUGUUUUUAACUGUUACCUGAGAUUUUCUUUUAUUGAUUCUCUGCAUAUCUGGGAGCAGUGCUUGAUAAUUGCAUGUGGUCCCUGCUUUUAUGGGCCUUACAGACUGGUGGGAAGGAAAAUAUACACAGACUAUAAUACAACCUGAUGUGUUUAGUGGGCAGAAGAAUUGGGGAGGCAAGAUAGACAAGAAAUAAAGGAAUUCAGCUUAACAGUUUUUCUUCUUGCUGGGACAGUUUGUUAGUAGGAUUAUUCUGAUUUUUGUCCAUUGUCAUUGUCAGUGAUUGGAAUAAUCUUAAAUGCUGUUCCUGAGAUGGAAUUUACCAAUGAACACAGCAGAUACAGUAUUCCUUAUCAGCUCUGUGUGGUACUUAAGCAUUGCAGACGUUCGUUCACUGAGCAAGCAUUUAUUUAGAAUUUACCACCAUUUACCAGCUGAGGUUCCUCUCUUCAAAUAGUUUAGGGUCUGAGAAGUAAACCAGCAGUUAUUGUGCGUAGUUACAGUAAGUGGAGAGGUGGUAAUGAACAGGAAACUAGAAGUACAAGGCAGAAACUUUUAAUUUUUUUUUUUCCAUAUUUUUAGUAGAGACGGGGUUUCACCGUGUUAGCCAGGAUGGUCUCGAUCUCCUGACCUCGUGAUCUGCCCGCCUAGGCCUCCCAAAGUGCUGGGAUUACAGGCGUGAGCCACCGCGCCCGGCCGGGAGAAACUUUUAGACUAAUUCAGACCUGAGAUACAUUCUGAUGUAUCUCAGAUUAUACAUACUUUGCCUUUCAGAAGUCCCUCCAGCUCCCAAGUCUCCAUUCCUUUUCACUGAGCUUCACAGAAACAUUGAUCUGGUCUAGGUUUGAGGGAAAAAAUUAGGAUGUAGAUAUUUCUAGCCCAAGUCAUCUGGCUCCAUCUGUUCAUUAUUACUUCAAGUGGAAUAGAGAGUACUUACCUAUUUGUUACCUAUCAACCCAUAAAUAAAGCUUUUCCCAAAAAAGGAAUACUCUGGUCUAAAGUACUCUGAGAUUUAGUCUUUGGUACCCAGAGUCUUAGAAAUAGCUUCUUCCAUUUUUUCUUCUCUGAAUCUGCCACCUAAGAAAUUGUGAGAUUUAAGUAUGUGGGAGUAGAAGGGAAAAGAAAGAACAAGGGAGGGGUGUGUCUUGAGAAUCAUUAUUCUCCAUUUGACUUUAGGAUAGGCAUUUUCAGGAAAUUCUCAUGGACCCAGUUAGCUUAUCUGGGGGAGUCUAAGUGGUUAGGAGCAAGAUAGGCACAAGAGGUGAAAGCAGAAAGGGAAUACAAAAUUGUCUUAGCUUUGCUUGGUUUGCUUUUAUUAGUUUUCUUAAGCUAGUUUCAUUUUAUUUACUGUUGGAAUCUAUAGGUCUUUUUCAAGGACGUGUUUAGGUGGGUGCUAACUUUGGUUUGGUUUUACCAAAGCAAGGAGUGAUCAUAUAAUGUAAGUUUAAAAAGCUUAGCAAACUUGGGUACAAUAACUUUUAAGAGCAUCAGUUUUUUCAUUCGCGAAGGAAAGGUGGUGAAAUAAGUAGAUGAUGUCUUAUGUCCACUAGGGGGUAGUGUGUACUGUAAAAAUUAAAAUAGUUCCUCAGUGAACUCUUUACUUCAUCAUGCAGUUAGCUAGUUUGAAUUAAUUUUUGUUCAUUUAAUGUGUUUUGAAAUUGCCAUAAAUUGUUUUUUUCAAACACAAUCUUGUGACUGUAGCAAACAGUAACUCUUGUUACAUGCAUUCCUGUUAUUAGUGAUGUCAAAUGUUCUGACAUUACUUUUUUUUUUUUUUUUUUUGAGACGGAGUUUCACUCUUGUUGCCCAGGCUGGAGUGCAACCUCCGUCUCCCAGGUUCAAGUGAUUCUCCUGCCUCAGCCUCCCGAGUAGCUGGGAUUACAGGCAUCAGCACAAUGCCAGGCUAAUUUUAUAUUUUUAGUAGAGACAGGGUUUUUCCAUGUUGGUCUCGAACUCCUGACCUCAGGUGAUCCACCCGCCUCUGCCUCCCAAAGUGCUGGGAUUAUAGGCAUGAGCCACUAUGCCUGGCUGACAUUACUUUUUGAAUAGAAUUUUUUGAGGGGAAAAUAGUGAUGCUUUAAAGUUUCUGUACAAAAUUUUACCUAUUAUAUGAAAUAAAUUAUUCAUAAUGACCAGGCAGUAACAUUAUAACAUGAUUGUUUUGUGUUUCACUCUCCAGACUAAUUUGGGAGCCACUAAUCAUUCCAUGUGGCUGUUGAGUAGUUGAAAUAUGACUUGUUUAAAUUAACAUGUGCUACAAGUGUAAUUUGCACAGUGGGCAUUGAAGGCUAUGAUAAAAGAUAAAAUACUAAAAGAUAAAAGAUAAAUAAUACAUUAAUUUCAUACUGAUUUCAUGUUGAAAUAAUAUUUUGAACACAUUUUUAGAUAAAAUAUAUUAAAAUUAAUUUUACUUGUUUCUUUUUACUUUUUAUGUGGCUACUAGAAAAUUUUAAGAUACUUAUGUGACUAUUAUAUUUCUGUUGGACAGCAGUGCUGUGGAGAAAAGUACUCAUCAGCCAUUUUUAUCUUAGUAUAUCUCUAGGUGGCCUUAUGAUUUGUAAGGAAGUAGUGUAGUGGGGAGCUUGAGCAAAACUUUGGUUCUAUUUCUAAUCCCAGCUAGAAAAUAGGCAGUCAGUUUUACUAUAAUGAGACAUUAUAUGUUCCUAAGAGUGUUAUGUUAUACAAAAUCAUGUAGUAAAAUUCACAGGGCUUACAGAUAAAAUGAAGCAAGGGGUAUGCACUUGAAAAUGUCCAUUGAUGAUAAUUAACUUUUUUUUUUUUUUUUUUUUUUUUAAAGAGACAAGG